GAUGAACGCUGGCGGCGUGCCUAAUACAUGCAAGUCGAGCGAACGGACGAGAAGCUUGCUUCUCUGAUGUUAGCGGCGGACGGGUGAGUAACACGUGGAUAACCUACCUAUAACACUGGGAUAACUUCGGGAAACCGGAGCUAAUACCGGAUAAUAUUUUGAACCGCAUGGUUCAAAAGUGAAAGACGGUCUUGCUGUCACUUAUAGAUGGAUCCGCGCUGCAUUAGCUAGUUGGUAAGGUAACGGCUUACCAAGGCAACGAUGCAUAGCCGACCUGAGAGGGUGAUCGGCCACACUGUAACUGAGACACGGUCCAGACUCCUACGGGAGGCAGCAGUAGGGAAUCUUCCGCAAUGGGCGAAAGCCUGACGGAGCAACGCCGCGUGAGUGAUGAAGGUCUUCGGAUCGUAAAACUCUGUUAUUAGGGAAGAACAUAUGUGUAAGUAACUGUGCACAUCUUGACGGUACCUAAUCAGAAAGCCACGGCUAACUACGUG
rnacentral:rRNA from 1 species